rnacentral:sRNA from 1 species
AGCCUGAGCUUAGCGAGUAGAGAGUCUCACAUGUCCAGGCUAGGCAUUCGUCAUUCGAGUCCUGGGAGCACAAGAGAAGAAGGAAGGCUACACUCACUAGAUCUAGCAGCAGAUCACGCCUCCUUCACUCAAGGAGAUCACUCGACCGCGGUGCUGGCCGCAGGAGAAGGAGAGAGGUCGGGUAUCCUCAGAGCGGUGAUGGCCGCCAUAGAGCUGAUGAGGUCGAGUACCCACCUGUUGGAGCAGAUACAGAACAAGGUGGUUCGUCUAUGGCCUGGGAGCAAUCACAGGCAGCCAUUGACGAGCAAUUACGUUCAUUCUUCGACUGAGGUAAGCGCCUCACUUCACCAUUGUAUUAUAUCAUCUUUUGUGAUUUGUUUCUUCAUUUUUUGUUUAUGUGAUUGGAUUUGUCCUGAGUACUCUCUUCCAGUUUAUCCACACAGUGGACUGUGUGAUUUAAGUUUGGGGGAGGGCUUAGGAAGUGUGUGUUGCAUUGUGUAUAUUUUUGAGUCUGCAUUCAUCUAAGGCAUAGAAAAACCAAAAAAAAUUGAAAAAUUUCAGAAAAUGAUUUCACAAAAAAAGAGUGUUCAUGUAGUUGCAUUACAUUUAGGAUCGAGUCUAGAGUGUUUCAUUUAGGAUUGUUGCAUAUGCAUAGGGGAUGAUGAUGAGAUAGCCUUGUAAGCAUUUUGAUUCACCGGAUAAACUCAGUGCCCUCGUUGCUAGUUGUCUGUUGCGUAGUCAAUGAAUUUGAAAUAAAACUGAACCAUGCCUAGAUUGCUCUAUUCGACCACACUGUCAUGAUCUGAUACCAUUCCCUAUU